GGGGGGAACAAGCGUUGUUCGGAAUUACUGGGUUUAAAGCGCGUGCAGGCGGAAAGGCAAGUCCGGAUGUGAAAUCCCCCGGCUCAACCGGGGAAGUGCACUGGAAACUGCUUUUCUAGAGUGCGGGAGAGGAAAGUGGAAUUCACGGUGUAGCGGUGAAAUGCGUAGAUAUCGUGAGGAACACCGGUGGCGAAGGCGGCUUUCUGGUCCGCAACUGACGCUCAUACGCGAAGGCUAGGGGAGCAAACAGGAUUCGAUACCCUGGUAGUCCUAGCGGUAAACGUUGUGCACUAGGUGUGGGGCUCCGACGAGGGGCUCCGUGCCGCAGCGAAAGCAUUAAGUGCACCACCUGGGGAGUACGGCCGCAAGGCUG
rnacentral:rRNA from 1 species